rnacentral:rRNA from 1 species
UACGUAGGUGGCAAGCGUUAUCCGGAUUUAUUGGGCGUAAAGGGUGCGUAGGCGGUAUGUUAAGUCUAAAAUCAAAGCCCGAGGCUUAACCUCGGUUCGUUUUAGAAACUGGCAAACUAGAGUGCAGUAGAGGCAAGUGGAAUUUCUAGUGUAGCGGUUAAAUGCGUAGAUAUUAGAAGGAACACCAGUGGCGAAGGCGGCUUGCUGGGCUGUAACUGACGCUGAGGCACGAAAGCGUGGGGAGCAAAUAGG